rnacentral:rRNA from 1 species
GACGAACGCUGGCGGCGUGCUUAACACAUGCAAGUCGAACGGAAAGGCCCUGCUUUUGUGGGGUGCUCGAGUGGCGAACGGGUGAGUAACACGUGAGUAACCUGCCCUUAACUUUGGGAUAACUUCAGGAAACUGGGGCUAAUACCGGAUAGGAGCUCCUGCUGCAUGGUGGGGGUUGGAAAGUUUCGGCGGUUGGGGAUGGACUCGCGGCUUAUCAGCUUGUUGGUGGGGUAGUGGCUUACCAAGGCUUUGACGGGUAGCCGGCCUGAGAGGGUGACCGGCGACAGUGGGACUGAGAGACGGCCGAGACUCCGACGGGAGGCAGCAGUGGGGAAUAUUGUACAAUGGGCGGAAGCUUGAUGCAGCCACGCCGCGUGCGGGAUGACGGCUUUCGGGUUGUAAAACGCUUGCGCCUGUGACGAAGCGGGAGUGACGGGAAUGGGUAAAGAAGCACCGGCUAACUACGUG